CUAAAUUUUUUAAAUGAAGCCUUUAAUCAGAACAGCCCUGAGCCAGCAGUCAUAACUGUCUCAGGUCCAUCAAAUGCUGCCGGUGUUGCAGAGCCAAUAGCAGUGUGCUCUACUUCCUCACCAAUGGAUAACCCUACAGCGUCUGAUUCGGU